GUUUAAACUGGGGUUGGUCUGAGAACUGGAACCACACAUAUACCUUAUUUGUCCUAUAGUUUUCAUGAUGAGAGAGAUUUAUUGCCUUAUCUGCAUUAUCUUUCCUGAAAUGAUAUCAAACAUGAUUAAUUUUCAUGUUUUUUAUUAUUAUUUUUAUGUUUAUAUUUACAAAUUGCACAUAGUUUCAUCUCAUCAAAUCACACCAGCCAUUCUCUCUCCUUGCACAGUUUUAUUGUAAGUUUCACAUGGCAUUCAAUGACUAUAACAAACAAAUAACUGAUUCAAAGAGAUUACUUACAUUCCUUUUCGCAUGAUUACACUACUAGAUUUAUGAUGGGAUGUUUUCAAAUAUUCUUACAAAUUUUGAUUUCCUUUUUCUUUUUGAGUUGAACAACAGGAGUCACUUUCACAAAAAAACUUAAGACUAAUAUUGAUCGUAAGUAUACUUAAUUCUUCAUGACUAACAAUUAUCUUAGCGUUAGUAUUUUUGAAACGGACUCCGAAUGCUAUUUUCACCAUGAAAUU
rnacentral:lncRNA from 1 species